rnacentral:rRNA from 1 species
AUUGAACGCUGGCGGCAGGCCUAACACAUGCAAGUCGAGCGGAUGAAGGAAGCUUGCUCCUGUAUUCAGCGGCGGACGGGUGAGUAAUGCCUAGGAAUCUGCCUUGUAGUGGGGGCUAAGGUCCGUAAACGGGCGCUAAUACCGCAUACGUCCUGAGGGAGAACGUGGGGGAUCUUCGGACCUCACGCUAUCAGAUGAGCCUAGGUCGCAUUAGCUAGUUGGUGGGGUAAGGGCCUACCAAGGCGACGAUCCGUAACUGACCUGAGAGGCUGAUCAGCCACACUGGAACUGAGACACGGUCCAGACUCCUACGGGAGGCAGCAGUGGGGAAUAUUGGACAAUGGGCGAAAGCCUGACCCAGCCAUGCCGCGUGUGUGAAGAAGGUCUUCGGAUCGUAAAACUCUGUAAGUUGGGAAGAAGGACAGUGAGUUAAUACCUGGCUGUUUUGACGUUACCAACAGAAUAAGCACCGGCUAACUUCGUG